AAACCGUGUACGUACAAGCAGUAGGAGCCCCAUCACUCAAGUGCCUCGCACUGAGUGAUGCAAGAACAUCACCGAAAAUAGCGCCGAAUUUGCUAACAAGGUUGGUCGAUUUUUUCAAGCCGUCGCGCAGUGUACCUAGAAGUACACGAGCAACGGAAGUUAAAAAAUCGGGCAAGAUUGAACGCAAAGGAAAGCGGGACAUUUGAGGAUGGGGUGACUGCGUACCUUUUGUAUA
rnacentral:rRNA from 1 species